AUUGAACGCUGGCGGCAGGCCUAACACAUGCAAGUCGAGCGGAUGAAGGGAGCUUGCUCCUGGAUUCAGCGGCGGACGGGUGAGUAAUGCCUAGGAAUCUGCCUGGUAGUGGGGGAUAACGUCCGGAAACGGGCGCAAAUACCGCAUACGUCCUGAGGGAGAAAGUGGGGGAUCUUCGGACCUCACGCUAUCAGAUGAGCCUAGGUCGGAUUAGCUAGUUGGUGGGGUAAAGGCCUACCAAGGCGACGAUCCGUAACUGGUCUGAGAGGAUGAUCAGUCACACUGGAACUGAGACACGGUCCAGACUCCUACGGGAGGCAGCAGUGGGGAAUAUUGGACAAUGGGCGAAAGCCUGAUCCAGCCAUGCCGCGUGUGUGAAGAAGGUCUUCGGAUUGUAAAGCACUUUAAGUUGGGAGGAAGGGCAGUAAGUUAAUACCUUGCUGUUUUGACGUUACCAACAGAAUAAGCACCGGCUAACUUCGUG
rnacentral:rRNA from 1 species